rnacentral:rRNA from 1 species
GACGAACGCUGGCGGCGUGCUUAACACAUGCAAGUCGAACGAUGAAGCCUAGCUUGCUAGGUGGAUUAGUGGCGAACGGGUGAGUAAUACGUGAGUAACCUACCUUUAACUCUGGGAUAAGCCUGGGAAACUGGGUCUAAUACCGGAUACGACCAAUCUCCGCAUGGGGUGUUGGUGGAAAGCGUUAUGUAGUGGUUAUAGAUGGGCUCACGGCCUAUCAGCUUGUUGGUGAGGUAACGGCUCACCAAGGCGACGACGGGUAGCCGGCCUGAGAGGGUGACCGGCCACACUGGGACUGAGACACGGCCCAGACUCCUACGGGAGGCAGCAGUGGGGAAUAUUGCACAAUGGGCGCAAGCCUGAUGCAGCGACUCCGCGUGAGGGAUGACGGCCUUCGGGUUGUAAACCUCUGUUAGCAGGGAAGAAGAGAAAUUGACGGUACCUGCAGAGAAAGCGCCGGCUAACUACGUGUCAGCAGCCGCGGUUAAUACGUAGGGCGCGAGCGUUGUCCGGAAUUAUUGGGCGUUAAGAGCUUGUAGGCGGUUUGUCGCGUCUGCUGUGAAAGGCCGGGGCUUAACCCCGUGUAUUGCAGUGGGUACGGGCAGACUAGAGUGCAGUAGGGGAGACUGGAAUUCCUGGUGUAGCGGUGGAAUGCGCAGAUAUCAGGAGGAACACCGAUGGCGAAGGCAGGUCUCUGGGCUGUAACUGACGCUGAGAAGCGAAAGCAUGGGGAGCGAACAGGAUUAGAUACCCUGGUAGUCCAUGCCGUAAACGUUGGGCACUAGGUGUGGGGGACAUUCCACGUUUUCCGCGCCGUAGCUAACGCAUUAAGUGCCCCGCCUGGGGAGUACGGCCGCAAGGCUAAAACUCAAAGAAAUUGACGGGGGCCCGCACAAGCGGCGGAGCAUGCGGAUUAAUUCGAUGCAACGCGAAGAACCUUACCAAGGCUUGACAUAUACUGGACCGCAUCAGAGAUGGUGUUUCCCUUCGGGGCUGGUAUACAGGUGGUGCAUGGUUGUCGUCAGCUCGUGUCGUGAGAUGUUGGGUUAAGUCCCGCAACGAGCGCAACCCUCGUUCUAUGUUGCCAGCACGUUAUGGUGGGGACUCAUAGGAGACUGCCGGGGUCAACUCGGAGGAAGGUGGGGAUGACGUCAAAUCAUCAUGCCCCUUAUGUCUUGGGCUUCACGCAUGCUACAAUGGCCGGUACAGAGGGUUGCGAUACUGUGAGGUGGAGCUAAUCCCUAAAAACCGGUCUCAGUUCGGAUUUGGGGUCUGCAACUCGACCCCACGAAGUCGGAGUCGCUAGUAAUCGCAGAUCAGCAACGAUGCGGCGAAUAAGUUCCCGGGCGU